rnacentral:rRNA from 1 species
GAUGAACGCUGGCGGCGUGCUUAACACAUGCAAGUCGAACGAAGCAUUUAAGACAGAUUACUUCGGUUUGAAGUCUUUUAUGACUGAGUGGCGGACGGGUGAGUAACGCGUGGGUAACCUGCCUCAUACAGGGGGAUAGCAGCUUGAAACGGCUGGUAAUACCGCAUAAGCGCACAUUACCACAUGGUACAGUGUGAAAAACUCCGGUGGUAUGAGAUGGACCCGCGUCUGAUUAGCUUGUUGGCGGGGUAACGGCCCACCAAGGCGACGAUCAGUAGCCGACCUGAGAGGGUGACCGGCCACAUUGGGACUGAGACACGGCCCAGACUCCUACGGGAGGCAGCAGUGGGGAAUAUUGCACAAUGGAGGAAACUCUGAUGCAGCGACGCCGCGUGAGUGAAGAAGUAGUUCGCUAUGUAAAGCUCUAUCAGCAGGGAAGAUAGUGACGGUACCUGACUAAGAAGCUCCGGCUAAAUACGUG